GAGCAUCCUGGCGGCGAGUGGCGAACGGGUGAGUAAUACAUCGGAACGUGUCCUGUAGUGGGGGAUAGCCCGGCGAAAGCCGGAUUAAUACCGCAUACGAUCUACGGAUGAAAGCGGGGGAUCGCAAGACCUCGCGCUAUAGGGGCGGCCGAUGGCGGAUUAGCUAGUUGGUGGGGUAAAGGCCCACCAAGGCGACGAUCCGUAGCUGGUCUGAGAGGACGACCAGCCACACUGGGACUGAGACACGGCCCAGACUCCUACGGGAGGCAGCAGUGGGGAAUUUUGGACAAUGGGCGCAAGCCUGAUCCAGCAAUGCCGCGUGUGUGAAGAAGGCCUUCGGGUUGUAAAGCACUUUUGUCCGGAAAGAAAUCCUCUGGGUUAAUACCCCGGGGGGAUGACGGUACCGGAAGAAUAAGCACCGGCUAACUACGUGCCAGCAGCCGCGGUAAUACGUAGGGUGCGAGCGUUAAUCGGAAUUACUGGGCGUAAAGCGUGCGCAGGCGGUGAUGUAAGACCGAUGUGAAAUCCCCGGGCUUAACCUGGGAACUGCAUUGGUGACUGCAUCGCUGGAGUAUGGCAGAGGGGGGUAGAAUCCACGUGUAGCAGUGAAAUGCGUAGAGAUGUGGAGGAAUACCGAUGGCGAAGGCAGCCC
rnacentral:rRNA from 1 species